rnacentral:lncRNA from 1 species
UGCAAUUCAUCUUCUUUGCUGCUGACAAUGGCUAUGUCCUGAAGAAAUCAUGAGUGCAAGGAUGACAGUCAGAACCACAGAAAGUCUGGUAACUCACGACGGAAUAAAGUAAGUAAUGAAGCAGUUGUUAAUAGGUUAUUGAUCUUUUAUACCGCAAAGCUUGGGUCAAAGAUUGCCCUAUAGUGCGGACUUCCUCCUGGGUAUAGCUUGUUGUCCUUCAUGUUGAAAACUCGGACUGGUGCUGACAUGCCAUCUCUUUUAAGACCAUGUCCCGCACCAAAGUUCCUUAUCAUCGCAUGCCCGUUCAUCUCUAUCAAGUAGGGAUGAUCGAGGGUAACAUAUUUCCUGUAAAAACAAGACAUAUUUCAGUCACUUCAUGAUGCCAUUCUAUAUUGUUGUGCAAUAAUUACAUGCUUUUUAUUCCACGAGGUUUUUGUUGGAUACGUGGGUUAGAAUACAGAACCUGCGUAGCUCAUGGGAUUUUCAUUUCUGUAUUGUAUCAUAUGUUGUGUAGACGUCAGAGACAUCAGGCUCAUCUACUGAUAACCUUUGAAAUGGUGCACGAGCAGGUUUGUGGGUUUUCUCUGAGGGUGAUCCGUCGGCUGCACUCCACAAAACUUGCAAAUUGUCAGGUAUAGAUGGGUCAUCAGUAUAUGCAUUUUUCUUGAGAAUUUCAUAGAGAUGCAAUGCACGAGUUUUUCUGAAGGUAGAUCAGUGAUUUUGUCUCAAGGU